GUACAAAAACGAAAUAGGAAGGAAACCCUGGAUCCCCAAAUCAGAACCCUCAUCUCCACUCCGCCGCCGCCGCACUCCAGCUACCACGCCGUCGACCCAACCCUCAACGCUGCCCCAGCAGCAUCGGUCGCGGCCGUCGUCGUACCAGCUCGCCGCUCCACCUGCUCGCCUACUGUCCCUUCAUCCUCAAUGGUGGAGCGACCCACGCCGUGUCCUCGUCGGCGCCUGUGUGCGUCCGCCUCACAGCACGCUCGAGCGCCCCCUCCUUGAGUCGUCGCCACCUGGGAAAGCAGCGACGAUCUGCCUCACCAAGAUGACGACGGCUGCCUCAAGUUGGGGGACACAUCUAGUUGGUGAUAGACCAGGGGAGACGUUGCUCCAUGAACAGGGGAGUACAAACAGGAGCAGGUGGAUAAACUCUCCACGAAGCUCACCAGAAUAAAAAUAGGGAAAGAAACUGAAUCUGGGGAAGACGUUGUUAAUAUCAUCAGGUUGUUAUGCUUAAGUACAGAUACAGUUAGAUGUGAAGCUCCAAAACAGGGUUUAUAAUCGCUCGGCCAUUUCUGUUUCUUUAUUAACUUAUCAUGAUAAGACCAUAUACAGUUAGAUAUGAAGCUGCUUGUUUGUCGCCCUUUAUGUUAAUGUGAUAUUCAGCAGGGUAGCUCUUUAAUUUAUAUUUUUCUUUCUCUUAGGCAGCAAUGAUGCUCCUUAUAUUGAUGUGAUAUUCUACCAUGUUUUAUCCUAUACAUUACAAUGCCAUUCUGUAUUUAGUAUGCUCAGGAUCAUUUGAUCUGUCUUGCACUUGUGUUUUCUUUGUUGGUUCAGUCUUAAUGGUACUUAUCCUUAUAGUUCCUUGGGAUUUUUGUCUAUCAUACCUUUUGACCUUUCAUUAUGUUAGUAUUUUUGACUUAUUCGGCAGUUACAUUGCAAGUUCGAGGAAUAUCAUUGGCACCGCAGAGAGGUUGCAAACAAGAAGACAGAAAAUAGCCUUUGCAAAGGACAAGAGGGCGACAACAAAAUUAAGAUUGCUUUCGUGUGUUUGUUGAGUUGGCCUUGAGCUGCUGGGUGAAGAAAGUAGCCUCCAUGCUUCUUAAAUCUGGGUACUGUUUUGUACAGAAGCUUUCAUCUAUAGAGAAGCACAUCUGUUUCAGACUGCUCCCUCUGUUCGUGGACAAAUACGGAGUCCAGUUUAGGUGUCGGUGUUGGAGAUGCCCUAAGCAUAAAGGAUGGGUGAAAUCAUAUGUGGUGUGAGCUAGUCUGGAAUAGAGCAGCGGCCAAACAAAGUGUAGUGUCCUAGUCAUAACCCGGUGCAGUGCGGUGCCGGGGGAUUCUGGUCUGGUACUUCCGUCUUCUGGUGGAGAAUAUCUGUUGUUGCGUUUGAACCUGAACCUGUUGUUGUUUCUUGCUCCGUAGGCAUCUCAUCAUUGAACUGGACUUCCUUUCUGGCUGAUUGAUUUGAUAUUUUGAUUCGAAACAAAU